GGACUACUGGGGUAUCUAAUCCUGUUUGCUACCCACGCUUUCGUGUCUCAGCGUCAGUGAUGGUCCAGAAAGCUGUCUACACCGCAGGUGUUCCUCCUGAUAUCUACGCAUUUCACCGCUACACCAGGAAUUCCGCUUUCCUCUCCCAUACUCCAGCCCUCCAGUUUCCCGCGCACCCUCCCAGUUAAGCCGGGAGAUUUCACACGGAACUUAGAGAACCGCCUACACACUCUUUACGCCCAGUAAUUCCGAACAACGCUUGCUGCCUACGUAUUACCGCGGCUGCUGGCAC
rnacentral:rRNA from 1 species